GAACAUUGAGGACAGAGUUCAAGAGGAAGCUGGCUGUCUUGUGGAGGAGUUGAGGAAAACCAACAGCUCACCUGUGAUCCCACUUUUAUCUUGGGCUGUGCUCCCUGCAAUGUGAUCUGCUCCUUUAUUUUCAAAAAUUGUUUUGACUAUAAAGACCAGAAUUUUCUUAACUUGAUGGAAAAAUUCAAUGAAAACCUCAGACUUAUGAGUACCCCAUGGAUCCAGGUCUGCAAUACUUUUCCCAUUAUCAUUGAUUAUCUGCCAGGAGUCACAACAAAAUUCUUAAAAACUUUGCUGAUGUGAAAAGUUAUGUUUUGGAAAAAGUAAAAGAACAUCAAGAAUCCCUGGAUAGCAAUAAUCCCCGGGACUUCGUUGAUUGUUUCCUGAUUAAAAUGUAACAGG